rnacentral:tRNA from 2 species
GGGCGGUUAGCUCAGUCGGUAGAGCGUCUCGUUUACACCGAGAGGGUCGGCGGUUCGAGUCCGUCACCGCCCACCA